GGGGAGGUGACAGAGUGGUUGAACGUGCUCGUCUCGAAAACGAGUUUGGGUAACACCAACGUGGGUUCGAAUCCCACCCUCCCCGCCA
rnacentral:tRNA from 1 species